GUCUUCAAAUCGACUUGCUACAACGAGGAUGUAUGUACUUAAUUGCUCUAGAUAUGAACUAAAAAAAAUAAGUUGAUAUACCUAGUACAUACUUUUUUAAUUUGUUGUUAUAUUGUAUUUGUUAAAAAGUGUAAUGGAAUUGAUUUCAAAGGACAAUUUGGAACAUAUUAAUAAUAAUUACUGGGAGACUUACCCAUACAUUAGGGUAUCUACUCCAAUAUUGAAAAGAAAAGUGAAACUAGUGGAUACUGAUUCACAAUAUAUAAAAUUUUGCGAACAUCUACACGAACCUCCUAUAAAAACAAUCGUAAGAGGCCUUCAGGCCCAUAAAUCAGAUCUAACAGCAGGUCAUAUAAUUUUAAAUAGGCAGAAAUCAAAAAUAAACUCGGAAGAAAACGAAAUAAAAAAAUCCUGUGAAGAUAAUAAUUCAAUAAACAUUUAUUUAAAAUCUGAUGUAGUUGAAAUUAUUAUCAAUCCCACCGCCAAUAGUACUGAAAAGGAGACCGUUAGUAUUCACGAAAAGUUAAAAGACAUGAUACAAGGUGAGAUAUUUGCAAAUAGAUCAAAAUAUUCAAGAAAAUGGAGGAAAAUUAUUGACAACAGCAAAAGUAAAUGGCUGAGAAUUUUGGAUAUUUUUAGAAAAGAAAAAUCAGUAUCCACUUUGGUGCAGUACCAAAACAAAGGAAGAUAUUUCAAAUACGCCGACGAAAUUUGUUUUUGAAUAGAUGAACUGAUUGAAAAGUGGCGUAGAAAAAUUGUGCUGGACGUGAUUUAUCUACUAUUUAUUCUAUCUACUUGAACGAAUACUUAGGGAAAAUGUUAUUCAUCACACUGUUUUAAAAAUGAGCAAUCAACAUUUUUGAGAUGGUGAUUAAGAUCAAAUGUAAUUUUAUUGCAAAGUAGUUGUUUUUUAAAAGUAGACAAAAUUCAAUGUGAACUUUUGUUCAAUAAAGAUUUUAUUUGUUUCUUA
rnacentral:misc_RNA from 1 species